GGCACUCACCGCUUCCACUGCUUCAGGAGUCUCCUCGUCGGGCUGCGGCUCCUCUUCCUCCUCGGCGUCCUCCUCCUCCUCGUCCACUUCCUCCGGCGACGGCGGACCGAUCUUGCUGCAGCUGUAUCUUGUAUCUUUACAGAAUGCUGUAUAAUCCACAGGCAACAAUUGGUUGCAAAAAGCCUUAAGUGAUGGAUGCCAUAAAUCGUUUAGAACCGUUAUCACUGCAGCAAAUAAAAUCAAGGCAGAUACUCUCAAUUACUCACUGUUUCAUUACCUAUGCACUGAGAAUGAUGGCUGUAUUUAACAUUUGUUGUUACACAGCACAGUCAGAUGGCUGUCAAAAUGAAACUACUGACAAUGUUCUUAUUUCACUUUUUAAAGCAGUUGCUGAAGUCUUUCAAGAUACCAAUUUUUGAGAUCACUUCUAGUGAGCGAGCAUGGCGGCAGGCUGGACUUUCUGAAGGCUCUCAGAAAGCCAACUACAUAGAACGACCUGGUAGAGCUCUGGCUUCCUCUCCCCCCCCCCCCCCCACAGAUCAAGUAGGGAGACGCUAAACCAGCCAGACCCCUUUAAUGGUCCCAUAAGACCCCUGCCCCUCAAGGACAGGGAUCUGGUGGAUCCGAAGGACUGCGGCAAGCGGGUUGUCUUGCGGGAAGGGAGCAAAGGCUCGCACGUACUGUCUGCCCCGUUCAUUUUAAAAGAAGAAAGAAGAAUAAGAAAAGAAGGAGGCGAGCAUUGACUUGCCUAGCUGGAAAGAAGGAGUUUCUUCUUUUCAGGGUAAAGCUUCCCCUAUUUAACAACCUACAUAAAUCAGUAGAUUUGAUAAAAAAUAUUUGUGAUUUGAUACAGAAUUAAAUUAAUUGACUAACAAAUAUGGUCUUACGAAUUUGAAGACCAAGAUAUAAGUUGAGAUUCAAUUGAAUUAAUGAAUUGUGUUUACUUAAUAGCAAGAAUUUAAUAACUUGAUAACUGAAAUAAUUGCUAAACAAAUGUGGAAAAAAGUGCAGAAAGUAAAGGAAAACUGUUCUGGACUUACGUGAUUUCUUAAAUAAAUUGUUGAGCCUAGACGAAGUGAGAAACAUGCUAGUAAGGCUCUGGGUGGAAGAUUUGGUGAUUUGACCUUGAGAGAGCCAUAUUGUUGAGUCUACAAAAGUCUUCAUCAACAACAGCCAGGUAGAAGGAGAUGCCUGAGGGUGUCUGGAAGAGGAAGAGAAGUGAGCACAAGAGAACCCUUAUGCUCAGAGAAAGAACCCAGAAGAGCGUAAAAGCAGCGACACGUACUAUAGAGCAGAUAACAGGAAAUGGAAGAAGCCAGCGGAAUCUUCAAGAAGACAGACUGGGAGGACUAAUAGAGGAUAAACCAUAGAGAAAAGACACGAUAGAAGCAAGGAAAAACAACAACAUUUAAAAAACGGGGGAAAGGCGAUUUAAAAUCAGGCAACAGCUUUAUCGGUGACAGUAACGGGUGACGGAGUGGACAAUCAACAACGACGGGGUGACGCGACAGCGAGACAGGACAGCGGUCGGUGCGACAGACGGCUUCGGGAUAAGAGAAUGGUGGAAGAGGUGCUGUUUGUAUAAAGGGUGUUACAAGAUGAUGUUCAAAAAAAUUGAACUAUGGUUGACAUUGAGUGUCCAGAAUCACCAUCUCCCAACAUACAAAAAAAUGGAACUUGUGUGUUGUCUUCCAAGAAGUUACUGAAAAGUCCAGUGCAGUCUAGAAGAACUGAAGAUACAUAUCACUGGCACAACAGUAAGAAAUUGCACUAGGUCAGGGGUUCCCAAAGUGUACACUGUGCUGCUUCCCUCUUCUUCCUCCUCCAAUCGUUAGCUGCUAAACAUUUGUUGAAAUGAAACUGUGACUUAAGACCUGCUCUGUAAUACCCGAGAAUCAUCAGCCAUCAACCAGAGUUCAGUCAAAGGGGGUAACAACAGCUGUAACCUUACUUUUGAAGAAGAUAGUGCAAAUUCAUUGGGUUUGAGUUUAGAAAAGGCUGCACAUGAUGGUGCUUCAGAGUCUACGAUGCCUAGUGAAGAAGUACCAAAAGAAAGUGAAAAACGAACAUAUUGUGAUUCAUAUUUGGACAUGGGAUUCACUGAAUUUGCUGGUGGUUGUCCACAGUGUAUGAUAUGUAACAGUUUUGCCCAAUAAAUCAAUGUUCCCUGCCAAUCUUAGGCAGCAUUUUAAAACUCAUCCUGACUUUAAGGUGCAUAGCUACAAAAACUAAACUACAAGAACACAGACAAAUCGAACUAAACACUAAACAUUUCUUGGGACUCUACAAGAAAUGUGCUUCAAAAAGGGCUCAGUGGCUGAAAAGGUUUGGGAAUCGCUGCACUAGGUAGAAAUUCAAAUACCGCAAAAAGCCCUUCCUCGACUGUAUAAUUGUGUAACAGAUGUCAAAAUGGAGGAAUCCAGAGUCUUCAAUAAAGGAUCAAAUUAUACCAGGAACAGCCAGUGGCAGCUGGUGGAUUCCAGUGCAUCUGUUAUACUUAGUUUGACUUUUAAACGAACUAAUUCAAUGCAUUGAACUAAGGAAUAAGACUAUGCACUUUAGAUUGUUGCUUGAAAUUUGGAGUUUAGGAGGAAGGGUUCCUUACCGACACGGAAAACAAUAGCUGCAAAGUGCAAAGGGCUAGUCUGAAAAUGCUAAAAUGUAAGGUGUUUCAAAAAGAUGGACCCAAUGUAUCACUCUUUAACCAUAAAGCACCCAUAAAUGAUUUUUUUAAUGAUUUGAAAGGGUGGGCCUUAGAGUUUCAAAUGAUGACCGCUAGGUGCCUAUCUGAACGUACAAACAGGGGGUUGGACUGGAUGGCCCGUGAGGUCUCUUCCAACUCUACGAUUCUAUGACCUUAGCCACAGUCAUUUGUAGGGUAGCAACCCUGCAACAUAAAGCAUAAUGAGAUAUACCCCAUUUGCAAGAUUAUUUUCUAGAUUUGUUCAAAACAGUUAGUAAAACCUGAUAACUUAUUUGAUAACUCAUUUAACCUGAUAACUUAUUUAACCGUUUGUAACUUUUUGUGUAGUUGUAAUGUGUUGCCAUUGUGAAGUAUACUGCUUUGAAACUGGCUCCAUUUUGAAACAUCUUUUGUUUUGCAUUGAUGUGCAUGUGUGAUUUGUUCUUGUGACCUUAAUAUAUUUUUAUAUUCAAUAAAGUACUAUUUUUCUAAA